AUAACAAUACAGGACUCUUUAGAGGCCCUGUAAUUGUAAUGAGUCCACUUGAAAUCCUUUAACUCUGAUCAAUUGGAGGGCAAGUCUGGUGCAGAGCGACUGACCCGUGGUGGAAAAUGUAUUAUUUAGCAGUUUAGCACCCA
rnacentral:rRNA from 1 species